GUAAAGAAGCACCUUUAUUAACAGUGUUCUUUUCAGUAAGGAUAAAUUAAAAAUGGAAAGUAACAAAUAGUAUUUUCCUUGGUCCAAAUUUAUUUCUCAGAUCAGUUUUACUCCCACUAUGUGGCAGGGCAGUGAUGCUGCUGAUUGUCAUGAGUACCACUGAAUUCAACCACAGUGAAUGCCUUUGUAGUAGUUUGCACCUUUGAUUAUACAACUGUACCAAAAAUAUAUAUAUAUAUUUGGAAGAACUGUGUUGCUUUUAUCAAUUUAUUAACUUUCAUGAAACCUAUUGAUAGUUUUGGACAGAAAGUCCUAGAGAAAGGUGAAGGGACAUGGGUUUGUGAUUAGAAAAGGAAAACUCAGCAUCUCCCAGAAUACGAGAACAAGACAUCCCUUAGGAACAGGGAGGAUUGUUGGUUUGUUUGGCAACUUUGGGGGAGUGUUGAAUGCAGGCAUCCCCAACAGAUGUACACCGUGCCAUCUGGAAAAAGAUGAGGGUUGCUGCUCACAGGAAAUAGCAACACACGCGGCACAUAUUGAAUAUUUAAGUGUCUCAGUAGCAUGUGCCCAAGUAAGGCUUGCCUCUAGGUGCCAAGGCCUCCCUGAACACUGCAAGAGUUCAGUGCAUGGCAUCUCACUUAGUGAGACAGAUGUUAAGACUCCAAUCUGAAAGCACCUCUCUUCACUCACACAGCCCGGCACGAGGGCUGCCGCCCCUGCGAACGAGCGGUUCUCAGCUCCACGCGGCCGAGCCCCGAGCAGGGAGGAGGCAGCAGCCGGCUGGAGUGAGAGUCGGGGAGAAAAAGAGAGGAGGGUGCUCAGGCACGCGAUAUUGCCUCAUCGACUUUCGCCCGCCCCCAACUCCACGGACCAAAAAAAUCGCGUUUCCUCCUUCGGCAACGGCAGUCCUCUUGGGUUUCCUUAAUAACUCAAGCCAGAGGGGCAUUCCUCGAAAAAUAUAUAUUUUUUUUUCCCCCGAAACCGAGAUACGGCUGCGUCCGCAACCGCCGCCCCGGCGGGGGUCCCGGGGCUCUUCCCACGAACCGCUUCCGCGGGGCCGGGAGCACACCCGGCUGCCCGCCCCACCACCUGGCCCCUUCCCUCUGUCCUCCAGCCGUCAGCAUCCGAAGACGAUUCGCGGGACGUGUCCCCGGGCCCCCGCACGGCGCUGUGAGCCGCGGGGUCGUUCGGCUGCCUGCGCACGAAAGCCCCAUAUUCCCCCUGCCUGCCGGUAGCCGCUUUCCCGUAAUUUCCAUUAUCCGAAGCACAUCGCGUGUUCUCGCUGCAGCCACUCCGGGGUGAGCCACGCGCCGCUGCCCGCGGGCUGUAACACAGCAUCAGCUGCCGUGGAGUUCCCUGCUUUGAUUUGUUUGGCGUUUGGAUGCUGCGGUUGUUCACUGUUUAUUAUCCCGGGUUUGUUUUCGAGUCAGUGACACUUCGAGUCUGAAUGCUUGUUAUUUACAGUUCUGGAGAGAGGCUCAUGAGACGUCCAAAUAAGCCCCGGUUAUGGAAUUGGAAACCAUCAUUUCCGUAGGCGUACAGGUACAUAUAUGAAGCCAGCGACGAUUCGAAGCCCAGCAGGAGAAAAACAACGUGCAAAGGCACGAUGGAUAACGCAAAGGAUCGCCGACCUACCGCGGGAGGCCGCCUACAAUUUUAGCCUCUGUCACCACGAGGAUAUACGAGACGAUCUCCUAAACGCUUUCGAUGAGCGCAUGACCUUCAGCGAGGGGCCGUUGCUCGAUUUUCACACCUGCGAGGACGCGUCCGCGGGCCCGCAGCUGUCCGAGGUUCGCCCGGGUGAACGCGGCCCCCGACGGCUACGUGGCAUCCCCAGUCCGUGCGGAGCCGAAAGAUAAAAAUUAAGACACAGAGGGGAGGAGGAGACGGAGGGGUGGGAAGAAAGAUACAGUGCGGAGAAGGGGCAAGGAAGGGGGGAGAGGGAAAAGGAGGGAUAAAAGGGGAGCAGAAAGGAAAGAGAGGGGGGAAAACGGGGUGAGGGAGGCAGGGAGGGGAGGGGGGACAUGAGGAGAAAGAGAAGGGAGGGAUUAAAGUGGGAGAAGAAGGCAGCGGGGAAGGAAGCGAGGAGAGGGAGAGGUGGAGAAGGGGCAAAGAAGGGGGAAGAAAAGAGAGAAGGCAGGGAGGGGAGCGGGGCUGUAGGGGGCCUCGGCAGCGGGAGGGUGCCCGACGCGGCCCCGCGGC
ensembl:lncRNA